CUAAAAGUAAGUUAAAAAAACUUUUGGAUUCAUACUCCAACCUUGAAAUUAUUCCUUUUAGA
rnacentral:tRNA from 1 species